GAUGGAGCUGGAGAGCAUCAGCUGCCACAGAAACACAGAGGAGAUGUCUGUGGUCUUUGUGCAGGAGGGUGCGCAGCCGAGUGCUACGUUUCUUCCGAAA
rnacentral:snoRNA from 1 species